UCCCCUAGUAACUGCGAGUGAAGCGGGAAAAGCUCAAAUUUAAAAUCUGGCAGUCUUUGAUUGUCCGAGUUGUAAACUAGAGAAGUGUUAUCCGCGCUGGACCGUGUAAAAGUCUCCUGGAAUGGAGCAUCAUAGAGGGUGAGAAUCCCGUCUUUGACAUGGACUACCAGUGCUUUGUGAUGCGCUCUCAAAGAGUCGAGUUGUUUGGGAAUGCAGCUCAAAAUGGGUGGUAAAUUCCAUCUAAAGCUAAAUAUUGGCGAGAGACCGAUAGCGAACAAGUACCGUGAGGGAAAGAUGAAAAGAACUUUGGAAAGAGAGUUAAACAGUACGUGAAAUUGCUGAAAGGGAAACGCUUGAAGUCAGUCGCGUCGGCCAGGAAUCAACCUUGCUUUUGCUGGGCGUACUUUCUGGUUGACGGGUCAGCAUCAAUUUUGACUGCUGGAAAAAGUUCAAGGGAAUGUGGCAUCUUCGGAUGUGUUAUAGCCCUUGUUCGCAUACAGCAGUUGGGAUUGAGGUACUCAGCACGCCGCAAGGCCGGGUUUCGACCACGUUCGUGCUUAGGAUGCUGGCAUAAUGGCUUUAAUCGACCCGUCUUGAAACACGGACCAAGGAGUCUAACAUGCCUGCGAGUGUUUGGGUGGAAAACCCAAGCGCGCAAUGAAAGUAAAAGUUGAGAUCCCUGUCAUGGGGAGCAUCGACGCCCGGACCAGAGCUUUUGUGACGGAUCUGCGGUAGAGCAUGUAUGUUGGGACCCGAAAGAUGGUGAACUAUGCCUGAAUAGGGUGAAGCCAGAGGAAACUCUGGUGGAGGCUCGUAGCGAUUCUGACGUGCAAAUCGAUCGUCAAAUUUGGGUAUAGGGGCGAAAGACUAAUCGAACCAUCUAGUA
rnacentral:rRNA from 1 species